rnacentral:rRNA from 1 species
AUGCUCAGGUAUCGCGUCGAUAUCUUUCCACCACCCACCCGUAUUAUUUCGGUGAUAGCCAUGCCUCUAUCCCGAAUCGUGCCAUCCAUCUCGUCCCUUUGGCAACCCUUACUGAUAUUUGUUAUCAGAAAAGGGCAAUGCCAUCAGGCCUUGCUUUUCCUCCCCUAUCCUGCCCUGUCAUCCCAUUCCUUGGGCGUGUAUGGUUCAUUUCGUAUGCUUGAUGAUGAUGUGGUCCUGACCUGUGUGUUCCACCACAUGAUCGCCAAGUCCGUCCUCACCUCCGUAUCCAUCCAGAUCCAGCCAGUGUUCAGCUAG